UUCCGGUUGAUCCUGCCGGACCUGACUGCCAUCGUAUUGAUACUAAGCCAUGCGAGUCAUUGUAGCAAUACAAGGCAGACGGCUCAGUAACGCGUAGUCAAUCUACCCUAUGGACGGGAAUAACCUCGGGAAACUGAGAAUAAUGCCCGAUAGAACAUUAUACCUGGAACGGUUUAUGUUUCAAAUGAUUUAUCGCCGUAGGAUGGGACUGCGGCCUAUCAGUUUGUUGGUGAGGUAAUGGCCCACCAAGACUAUUACAGGUACGGGCUCUGAGAGGAGUAGCCCGGAGAUGGGUACUGAGACACGGACCCAGGCCCUAUGGGGCGCAGCAGGCGAGAAAACUUUGCAAUGUGCGAAAGCACGACAAGGUUAAUCCGAGUGGUUUCUGCUAAAGAAACCUUUUGCUAGUCCUAGAAACACUAGUGAAUAAGGGGUGGGCAAGUUCUGGUGUCAGCCGCCGCGGUAAAACCAGCACCUCAAGUGGUCAGGAUGAUUAUUGGGCCUAAAGCAUCCGUAGCUCGUUUUGUAAGUUUUCGGUUGAAUCCAUACGCUUAACGUAUGGGCUGCCGGGAAUACUGCAUAACUAGGAAGCGGGAGAGGUAGACGGUACUCGGUAGGAAGGGGUAAAAUCCUUUGAUCUAUUGAUGACCACCUGUGGCGAAGGCGGUCUACCAGAACACGUUCGACGGUGAGGGAUGAAAGCUGGGGGAGCAAACCGGAUUAGAUACCCGGGUAGUCCCAGCUGUAAACUAUGCAAACUCAGUGAUGCAUUGGCUUGUGGCCAAUGCAGUGCUGCAGGGAAGCCGUUAAGUUUGCCGCCUGGGAAGUACGUACGCAAGUAUGAAACUUAAAGGAAUUGGCGGG
rnacentral:rRNA from 1 species